UGAGUAGAGCGGCGGACGGGUGAGUAACGCGUAGGAAUCUACCUGGUAGUGGGGGACAACUUGGGGAAACUCAAGCUAAUACCGCAUACGCCCUAAGGGGGAAAGCGGGGGACCUUCGGGCCUCGCGCUAUCGGAUGAGCCUGCGUAGGAUUAGCUAGUUGGUGGGGUAAAGGCCCACCAAGGCGACGAUCCUUAGCUGGUCUGAGAGGAUGAUCAGCCACACUGGAACUGAGACACGGUCCAGACUCCUACGGGAGGCAGCAGUGGGGAAUAUUGCGCAAUGGGCGGAAGCCUGACGCAGCCAUGCCGCGUGUGUGAAGAAGGCCUUAGGGUUGUAAAGCACUUUCAAUUGGGAAGAAAAGUUUGUCGUUAAUAGCGCCAAGCUCUGACAUUACCUUUAGAAGAAGCACCGGCUAACUCCGUGCCAGCAGCCGCGGUAAUACGGAGGGUGCGAGCGUUAAUCGGAAUUACUGGGCGUAAAGCGCGCGUAGGCGGUUUGUUAAGUCAGCUGUGA
rnacentral:rRNA from 1 species